CUCAACUACAUGAAGCUGGAAUCGCUAGUAAUCGCGAAUCAGCAUGUCGCGGUGAAUACGUUCCCGGGUCUUGUACACACCGCCCGUCACACCAUGGGAGUCGGAAAUGCCCGAAGUCGGUGACCGAACCGAAAGGAAGGAGCCGCCGAAGGCAGGUCUGGUGACUGGGGUGAAGUCGUAACAAGGUAUC
rnacentral:rRNA from 1 species